rnacentral:rRNA from 1 species
AUUGAACGCUGGCGGCAUGCUUUACACAUGCAAGUCGAACGGUAACAGGCCGCAAGGUGCUGACGAGUGGCGAACGGGUGAGUAAUGCAUCGGAACGUGCCCAGUCGUGGGGGAUAACGCAGCGAAAGCCGCGCUAAUACCGCAUACGAUCUAUGGAUGAAAGCGGGGGACCGUAAGGCCUCGCGCGAUUGGAGUGGCCGAUGUCAGAUUAGGUAGUUGGUGGGGUAAAGGCUCACCAAGCCAACGAUCUGUAGCUGGUCUGAGAGGACGACCAGCCACACGGGGACUGAGACACGGCCCAGACUCCUACGGGAGGCAGCAGUGGGGAAUUUUGGACAAUGGGCGCAAGCCUGAUCCAGCAAUGCCGCGUGCAGGAAGAAGGCCUUCGGGUUGUAAACUGCUUGUGUACGGAACGAAACGGUCCUGGUUAAUACCUGGGGCUAAUGACGGUACCGUAAGAAUAAGCACCGGCUAACUACGUGCCAGCAGCCGCCGUAAUAC